AACGAACGCUGGCGGCGUGCUUAAUACAUGCAAGUCGAACGAGAACGCCCGAUUUCGGUUGGGUUAGUAAAGUGGCGAACGGGUGAGUAACACGUGGACAAUCUGCCCUUAAGUUCGGGAUAAUCCCUCGAAAGGGGGUCUAAUACCGGGUAACACCUUGAGUGGGCAUCCAUUUAAGGUCAAAGGCGGGGCAACCUGCCGCUUAGGGAUGAGUCCGCGCUCCAUUAGCUUGUUGGUGAGGUAACGGCUCACCAAGGCUACGAUGGAUAGCCGGCCUGAGAGGGUGAUCGGCCACACUGGGACUGAGAUACGGCCCAGACUCCUACGGGAGGCAGCAGUAGGGAAUAUUGCGCAAUGGACGCAAGUCUGACGCAGCA
rnacentral:rRNA from 1 species